rnacentral:pre_miRNA from 1 species
ACGAAGAGAGCCCAACAUAGCCAAGAACAAAUUGCCGGUCGACAAAUAUAGAUUGCAUUUUGAGGUGUAUAUAUACAAUGCCGGCAAUUCAUCCUUGGCUCAGUUAGACUCUAUUCU